GAUGAACGCUGGCGGCGUGCCUAAUACAUGCAAGUCGAGCGAACAGAUGAGAAGCUUGCUUCUCUGAUGUUAGCGGCGGACGGGUGAGUAACACGUGGGUAACCUACCUAUAAGACUGGGAUAACUCCGGGAAACCGGGGCUAAUACCGGAUAAUAUUUUGAACCGCAUGGUUCAAUAGUGAAAGACGGUUUCGGCUGUCACUUAUAGAUGGACCCGCGCCGUAUUAGCUAGUUGGUAAGGUAACGGCUUACCAAGGCGACGAUACGUAGCCGACAUGAGAGGGUGAUCGGACACACUGGAACUGAGACACGGUCCAGACUCCUACGGGAGGCAGCAGUAGGGAAUCUUCCGCAAUGGGCGAAAGCCUGACGGAGCAACGCCGCGUGAGUGAUGAAGGUCUUCGGAUCGUAAAACUCUGUUGUUAGGGAAGAACAAAUUUGUUAGUAACUGAACAAGUCUUGACGGUACCUAACCAGAAAGCCACGGCUAACUACGUGCCAGCCGCCGCAGUAA
rnacentral:rRNA from 1 species